UACGGAGGGUGCGAGCGUUGUCCGGAAUCACUGGGCGUAAAGAGCGUGUAGGCGGCUCGAUCAGUCUGCUGUGAAAGCCCAGGGCUCAACCCUGGGAUGCCGGUAGAUACUGUCGAGCUAGAGUCCGGAAGAGGCGAGUGGAAUUCCUGGUGUAGCGGUGAAAUGCGCAGAUAUCAGGAGGAACACCAAUGGCGAAGGCAGCUCGCUGGGACGGUACUGACGCUGAGACGCGAAAGCGUGGGGAGCAAACAGG
rnacentral:rRNA from 1 species